GAUGAACGCUGGCGGCGUGCCUAAUACAUGCAAGUCGAACGCAAUACUUCGGUAUUGAGUGGCGAACGGGUGAGUAAUACAUAAGCAACCUGGCCAUGACAGGGGGAUAACUGACGGAAACGACAGCUAAAACCGCAUAGGUAUAAACGAAGCAUUUUGUUUAUAUUAAAAAUGCUAAGGCAUUGGUGAUGGAUGGGCUUAUGGAGCAUUAGCUAGUUGGUGAGGUAGAGGCUCACCAAGGCGACGAUGCAUAGCCGGCCUGAGAGGGUGAACGGCCACACUGGGACUGAGACACGGCCCAGACUCCUACGGGAGGCAGCAGUAGGGAAUUUUCGGCAAUGGGGGGAACCCUGACCGAGCAACGCCGCGUGAAGGAAGAAGGAAUUCGUUUCGUAAACUUCUGUUAUAAAGGAAGAAAGGGAUGUGUAGGGAAUGAUACAUCUAAGACGGUACUUUAUGAGGAAGCCACGGCUAACUACGUGCCAGCCGCCGCCGCGG
rnacentral:rRNA from 1 species